rnacentral:lncRNA from 1 species
UUCCCGGCUUUCAUAAAACUCUUAACCGUCGCUUUUAGAGCUGGAGGCAACUUAGCUCCAGCCAGUUUCUCUAAACUCUUAACAUCAUCCGUUACUUUCUGCUCUUCUUCCUCCAUUCUCUGAAUCUCCAUCAAAGGAGGUCCAGAGAGGGUUUCAAUCACGUACUGAGUGAACAAUGAUUCUUGAAUCCUAUCAAAGUAAGUGCUCAUGUGGAAAGAUGAAGCAAGAACCUUGACCAGAAGUGUCUUAAUCAACCAAAUGAUCACAGCAACAAGGAGACAAACCAACACUCUCGUCACGUACCUAAUGGCAGUAGUCCGGGUCUCUCUUUCCACUUUCUUAUCGAACAAGAAGUGCCACGCAAGCAACACGAGCCCUAACCACAAGGUGUUUUGAACAGACUUUCUAACUCCGUAGACGAAAUACAAAACCCUCUUUCUCAAAACGAAGUUCUUCUCGGCCGAGAAGACGAGGAUCCUCACUAUCCAGCUCGAGACUAGUCUCCCGCAAAUCAACACCAAAACCGUCACUUCCCAUUUCCACAGGUCCAGCUUCCACCAUGUCUUGCGCCGCAAGCUAUGUACCGUUAAGCUACAGACCAAACUGGUGACUAUCAGAACUAAACUUAUCCAUUCGAGCAAAACCCAAAUGCUGAGUUUGUCUCUUUUGAACACGUCCGGUAAGUCCUCGUCCAGAAACGGAUCUUCCUCCUCGUCUUCCUCCAGCGUCCCGGUUCGAGAUGGAGUUCCCGGUUUAGGGCUUUUUCCGAGAAAACCGGUUUUCCGACCGGAUCUCAUCUCUGUUUUGUCGAUAGCUGGAUGCGUCGGUGUUGGAGGAUCCAUAAGUCUUGACUUCGUCUGGUUCCUCCUCAGUAACGGUUUCUUCACGACCUCUGCUUCGUCUCUGUUGGCCUUGUAGUGACGGCUCUCCUCGUCGCUGCUCCCACCGAGUGAGAUUCUGUUCUGUCUCCUUCUCACCGCGUCGGCUUUUCCUUUCGCCGUGAACGGAGAAGACCUCCAUGUACUAGAACAGUAUCAAAAAUGUCUUGAACCCCAUUUCAAUCACUAUAUACUUAUUCUUGAAUCACAAAUUACUACUUCCAGAGAAUAGAAAACUGUUACCAAACCACUCAUACAUAUAUAUAUACAUACACAAAAAUCAUAUUCUGCUUGCUUACGCGCAAUGAAAAAUCCCUUACUUCCCUUGCUCAACAAGUCUUUACAGUUCAGGCACCGCGUUGAUGCAAACAAGCUGGAGGCAGACGGUCAGAAGUACCCGGAGUCACCGGAGGGAAACUUUUAAUAUUAAUGCCUUGAGGAUAUAAACGAUACUCAAUAUCAAGCUCUCUACAAGCUUUCCCAACUUCCUCUAGUAAUUGACUUCUCCUUAUAAACCUCUCUCCCAUGUCUUGAAAAUUCAUUCUGUGUGUCAACCACACCGCAAUCUUCACGCUUUUCAAGUCAUCCAUGUUUAGGAACACAAUCAUAGGUGCCGGAUACCAAUGAUCCUUCUUGAAGUCUAUAUAACUGCAUGAAAAAAAAACAAAUGAAAGUUUGGCCUUGAGACUUUAAAGUUUUACGAAUUAGUAUAUAGACAUAGCCUCCUAAAUUGUAAAGAAAAUAUUAUUUUUUUUUACUAAAAUGUCUAUAGCCUCAAGAUCUUAGCGUCUGAAUUUAACUAACCUGAUUAUUCUCUGUUUAAUAGCAGCUAUCUUUUCUGGAGGAGUUGCUAUGUGAACAGAGAAUUCAACCGCAUCUCCCAUAUCAGGACUUCGGAAGUAGUUAGCUAUAGGUUUUGUCCCAAGAACACUAUUCGGGUAUAUGAUCUUUUGAUUAUCGUACCGCAAGAAAACAGUCGUCAAUAUGUUCAUUUCUUCCACAACCAACUGGUAAAAGAAACAACAAGAUUAGAACCAUGUCACAAUAUUUUAAUAAGUCCAGCAGAUUAUUGUAUUAGGAGGGAACAAACCUGAACACCGUCAAUUUCGCAGCGGUCACCAACAUCAAAUGGGUGCAUAACGAAAAGGAAAAUGAUGGCUUCAAAGAUGGUUUUGCAUGAGUUUCCGAAUAUAAAGGCUACUAGAAGUAGCUGAGAGCUUAAGACUAGCAAGAACUUGGUUGUGGCGAUUCCUAGUAUAAGAAGCCAAAUGAUAAUGAUUAUAAUGCUAAUCAACACAUUGAUUAUGCGGUGAAGCCUGUUCACUGCUGUCUUUGUGUCGUUUAAGGUCAAUGCCAGAGCCCUCCGUUCUCUAAAUGCCUUAACCUGUGAAAAAAACGUCAAGAUAACUCUGUUUUGCAUAUGAAAAGAAUCUUGACAUAUAUAUCUAAUUUAGAACUUACCACCCAAUUCUUGAGGCAAGACUUGCUGAUCCUAAGGCUCUCUGAAGCUCCUUCAAAGAGAGCCAUGGCUCUUUCAGACUCCUCUUCAGACAGAAACCGCAAGAAGUCUUCCAUAUGUAUGUACCUAAAACCCGAUAAAAAGAAACUCAAGAUUUAAGCAUAAACCAUACUAAAAUUUUGGAGCUGUAGAUAAUUUAGUAAGAAUUUAAAUAAAUUUUGUUUUAUACAUUUUGAAAAAAUGUUUAUGGAUAUUAACUUUUAAAACAUUGAAGUGAUACGUCAAUGUUUCACUUGUCUAUGCACACUAAUGAUCAACUUCAAGAUAUAUAUACCUGGAACCAGGCUCAGUGACAUUGUGAAAAAUCUUCUUAGCUGCAAUCUUUGCUUCGCACUCGCUUCUUAUCUGCGUAGCAUGCUCACUCUCCUCAACUGUGUCCUGCAUAUGUUCAUCCAAGGUAGAAAGAGCGCCUUUUCGUAUUAUAUUCAUCAACUUGGUCAUGUUCCAAGCAGACACAUUGUCUGUAUUCAUCCUCUGCAACUGAUCAAUCCUUAUCCCUUCACCAUCUCCUUCUUUGUCAGAACCAACCCGAGACAGUCUCUGACCUUUCCCGGCUUUCAUAAAACUCUUAACCGUCGCUUUUAGAGCUGGAGGCAACUUAGCUCCAGCCAGUUUCUCUAAACUCUUAACAUCAUCCGUUACUUUCUGCUCUUCUUCCUCCAUUCUCUGAAUCUCCAUCAAAGGAGGUCCAGAGAGGGUUUCAAUCACGUACUGAGUGAACAAUGAUUCUUGAAUCCUAUCAAAGUAAGUGCUCAUGUGGAAAGAUGAAGCAAGAACCUUGACCAGAAGUGUCUUAAUCAACCAAAUGAUCACAGCAACAAGGAGACAAACCAA